ensembl:lncRNA
UUAAAUCCUGGAAGCACACUGUCCGCCCGGUGUGGGCACAGGGCCCAGGAGCCUCCUUGCUGGCCCAGAUAAGGUGAGCAGGCACCUGACCCUGUUCCUGCCCAGGAAACGGGAGGAGAGAUCUGCUCAAGGAACUCUGGGAAAAGUGCUCUUGCUCCUGAACAGGAACAUGGAGGAAAACGGGCCACCAUGUCCACCAGAUGCUGCUGUAUCCUCUGCGUGACGUGGAGUGGUUAGAUGUGACCUUAGAGCCACCAGGAGAUCCAGCACACUCUCGUGAUGCAGGGUACAGAGACAGAACGAGCCAGGGUCUGUGCUGGUGGCCCUGGUGCUGCCCUACUUCUGAAUCUCUUGUUAUAUAAGAUAAUAAAAAUCCUUCUUGCAGAGUCAAUUUGAGAUGGCAUGCUCCGUUACUUACAGCCAAAAGCAGGUGAAAUGUGAAAGUAAGUUCUCUGGAUGAACUGAAGGGCUACUUCCUGGAGCUAUGAAAACCACAACCAUCACCACAAACCGCAGGCAAAGGAAAUGUGAGGGCUUUUAUCACAUCAUGGGUGACAGUAAGGAUUUUAACGUCAGACAUACCUGAGCCCGCACUCAGAUAUGUACUGGGGGUGGGCUGUGGCCCACCUUCUUCAGCCUCUUUAAGCCUCAUUUUCUUCAUCUCUAGACUGAACAUGCAACAGCACAUGGGCUAGUCUUGAGCCCAGAUGACAUCACUUCUGCCAAAUGAGACACAAAGGAGUUGAGUCACAGUCACAGUGCAACUGGCAGUGAGCAUUUCAGAGGGAGUCACUGUGUCUGUCACAGUGGUCACACUAAAGGACACCACAGUAAUGCCAUCAGCAAAACCAGAGCUGGGGACUGCUGGGGUGGCCCUGUGGCUUUGUGCUGAUGCUGCUGUCCUCGGCACCUGGAAGGAGUUUUCAGUAGAAGGUGGAGGUGAGGCAGGGCGGAAGAAAUAGAGCCGGUAGAAAAGAGACAAGGAAAAGUGGAAUUUAAAAACUGUACUUUUAAGAAACACUGCAGCUUCGGGACACAAAAGUUACUUAAAGCCUUUUUCCCUCCCAGGAAACUCACUCAAUAUAAAUCUUAAAGGUCUUAAAGGCACAGUAAGCCUGUACUUCCGGCUUUUCACCUGUAAACUUCACUUCCUGCCACAACCACCACCUCGAGCAAGCAGCAGUGAGAGACAGCGUCCUGGCCUCAGACUCGGAAAGUGGGGUGCGGCCCGACCCGGCCCAGAUGGGAGAGCACAGCAGCAGAGCAGCACCCUGACCCAGGCCGCUCUCUCCCCUUGGGCCUGUACUCUAUUUCUUUGAAUUCGAG